GCCGGCGUGGCGGAAUUGGUAUACGCGAGGGACUUAAAAUCCCUUGGAGGAAACUCCUUGCAGGUUCAAGUCCUGCCGCCGGCA
rnacentral:tRNA from 2 species